UCACCUGAGCCAGCACUAGCCGCUGCAGAAAUCACAGAGGUCCCGGAAAGUCUCAGAAUCUGUGGCCUCCAUGACAAACUCACAGCCUUAC